AGUGAACGCUGGCGGUAGGCCUAACACAUGCAAGUCGAACGGCAGCACAGGAGAGCUUGCUCUCUGGGUGGCGAGUGGCGGACGGGUGAGGAAUACAUCGGAAUCUGCUCAGUCGUGGGGGAUAACGUAGGGAAACUUACGCUAAUACCGCAUACGACCUUCUGCUGAAAGAGGGGGAUCGCAAGACCUCUCGCGAUUGGAUGAGCCGAUGUCGGAUUAGCUAGUUGGCGGGGUAAUGUCCCACCAAGGCGACGAUCCGUAGCUGGUCUGAGAGGAUGAUCGGCCACACUGGAACUGAGACACGGUCCAGACUCCUACGGGAGGCAGCAGUGGGGAAUAUUGGGCAAUGGGCGCAAGCAUGAUCCAGCCAUACCGCGUGGGUGAAGAAGGCCUUCGGGUUGUAAAGCCCUUUUGUUGGGAAAGAAAUCUUUCAGGCUAAUACCCUGGGAGGAUGACGGUACCCAAAGAAUAAGCACCGGCUAACUUCGUG
rnacentral:rRNA from 1 species